rnacentral:lncRNA from 1 species
CCGAUUCCUCUGAGAAUUUAUUUUCAGCACCAGCGAAGCAUGUUCAUCAAAUAAGGACACAAACUACAGAAAUUAUAAUCAAAGACCCUGAAGCUGCUGAUCAGCCUCCUAGAAAAAGGAAAAAGUCAGGAAUAACAUUCAACUUUACGAAAAGCGACCCCCAAAAUGAAAGAGACACUAAGUUUGCUCCUAAAAUAAAUGAGGAACUACUUCCACCAUUGGAGUAUUUUACCAAACUGUUCUCACUAGAUAUUUUAGACUAGGUACAUAAUUGAGCAGACAAAUUUGUAUAGUACCUACUCAAAUAAAAUGCACAAGCAUUGGUACUGAUCCUAAUGAGAUGACAGAUUUUUUAUCAAUUUUGGUUGCAAGCCUGAUGCCCAUCAAAUGUUUUAAACUUCUGAGAAGAUUUAUUCAUUUCAAUAAUAAUGAACAUAUAACACAAACUACAACAGAUAGGUUUUUCAAAAUACGUCCACUUUUAGAAAAAGAGAAAAUUUUAAAAAGUUUCACACUGAAAAUGAAUACUCCAUUGACGAAACUAUGGUAGCAUACAAAGGAACACGAGCUGGAAAUUUAUGUUAGUAUAUCAAAAGCAAGCCGCACAAAUGGGGAUACAAAUUUUUUUUAUCCUAUCAGGGGUGUCUGGUUAUAUUGAGGAUUUUAUUCCAUACCAAAGUUCAAGCACCUUGGAAGAAUUAAACUGCACCCCUAAUGAACUAGGGAAGGAGGAGAUAGAACUAGGUGUGGGUGCAGCUAUUAUAGCUUUAUCAAAAUCAGUACACAUUUCUAGUAAGUCAACAGUUUUUUUCGACAAUUAUUUUGCAGGCUUACCACUUUUUAUAUAUUUAAAAGAAAAAAUGGGUAUCUAUAGCUUGUAAACCUUACGAAGUAACAGAGUUGGUGGAUGUCCAUUAAAAACAGAUAAAGUCCUGAAAAAAGCAAGAAGAGGAAAGUAUGAUUACAAGGCGGAUAAAGACAAAGGCAUUAUAGUCGUAAAAUGGGUUGACAAUAAAGUUGUAUUGUUAGGAAGUACAUGGCACAAAAUAGAAAUAGUAGACGCAGUAAAAAGAUACAGUAAAAUUUCAAAAA